rnacentral:rRNA from 1 species
AACGUACGCUGGCGGCACGCCUAACACAUGCAAGUCGAACGAAGUAGCAAUACUUAGUGGCAGACGGGUGAGUAACAUGUAGGUAUCUGCCCUUUGGCCUGGAAUAACACGAGGAAACUUGUGCUAAUACCGGAUAAGUCUUUACGGAGAAAGCUUUAUGCACCAUUGGAUGAGCCUGCAAUUGAUUAGUUUGUUGGUGGGGUAAUGGCCUACCAAGACUGUGAUCAAUAGCUGAUUUGAGAGGAUGAUCAGCCACAUUGGGACUGAGACACGGCCCAAACUCCUACGGGAGGCAGCAGUGGGGAAUCUUGCACAAUGGAGGAAACUCUGAUGCAGCGAUGCCGCGUGAGUGAAGAAGGCCCUUGGGUUGUAAAGCUCUUUCGUCGGGGAAGAAAAUGACUGUACCCGAAUAAGAAGGUCCGGCUAACUUCGUGCCAGCAGCCGCGGUAAUACGAAGGGACCUAGCGUAGUUCGGAAUUACUGGGCUUAAAGAGUUCGUAGGUGGUUGAAAAAGUUAGUGGUGAAAUCCCAGAGCUUAACUCUGGAACUGCCAUUAAAACUUUUCAGCUAGAGUAUGAUAGAGGAAAGCAGAAUUUCUAGUGUAGAGGUGAAAUUCGUAGAUAUUAGAAAGAAUACCAAUUGCGAAGGCAGCUUUCUGGAUCAUUACUGACACUGAGGAACGAAAGCAUGGGUAGCGAAGAGGAUUAGAUACCCUCGUAGUCCAUGCCGUAAACGAUGUGUGUUAGACGUUGGAAAUUUAUUUUCAGUGUCGCAGGGAAACCGAUAAACACACCGCCUGGGGAGUACGACCGCAAGGUUAAAACUCAAAUGAAUUGACGGGGACCCGCACAAGUAGUGGAGCAUGUGGUUUAAUUCGAAGAUACGCGCAGAACCUUACCAACACUUGACAUGUUCGUCGCGACUCUAAGAGAUUAGAGUUUUCGGUUCGGCCGGACGAAACACAGGUGCUGCAUGGCUGUCGUCAGCUCGUGUCGUGAGAUGUUGGGUUAAGUCCCGCAACGAGCGCAACCCUCACUUUUAGUUGCCAUCAUUAAGUUGGGCACUCUGAAAGAACUGCCAGUGAUAAGCUGGAGGAAGGUGGGGAUGACGUCAAGUCCUCAUGGCCCUUACGUGUUGGGCUACACACGUGCUACAAUGGUAUCUACAACAGGAAGCAAGACUGCGAAGUUAAGCAAAUCCCUAAAAGAUACCUCAGUUCGGAUUGCACUCUGCAACUCGAGUGCAUGAAGCUGGAAUUACUAGUAAUCGUGGAUCAGCGUGCCACGGUGAAUGCGUUCCCGGGUCU